CAGCAUGCUAUCCUAAGGACCUGGGCUUGUGUUGUAGCUCGUGGUUCUCCAAGUGCAUGCAAGAAAAUGGGGUGGUCUUUGACUGUUGUGGCCUGUCUUUGCCAUCAGCAGCCACUCAACUGUCCUACAGAC